rnacentral:rRNA from 1 species
GAUGAACGCUGGCGGCGUGCUUAACACAUGCAAGUCGAACGAAGCACCUUGAUUUGAUUCUUCGGAUGAAGAUCUUGGUGACUGAGUGGCGGACGGGUGAGUAACGCGUGGGUAACCUGCCUCAUACAGGGGGAUAACAGUUAGAAAUGACUGCUAACACCGCAUAAGACCACAGCACCGCAUGGUGCAGGGGUAAAAACUCCGGUGGUAUGAGAUGGACCCGCGUCUGAUUAGGUAGUUGGUGGGGUAACGGCCUACCAAGCCGACGAUCAGUAGCCGACCUGAGAGGGUGACCGGCCGAAUUGGGACUGAGACACGGACCAAACUCCUACGGGAGGCAGCAGUGGGGAAUAUUGCACAAUGGGGGAAACCCUGAUGCAGCGACGCCGCGUGAGCGAUGAAGUAUUUCGGUAUGUAAAGCUCUAUCAGCAGGGAAGAAAAUGACGGUACCUGACUAAGAAGCACCGGCUAAAUACGUGCCAGCAGCCGCGGUAA